CGCGCAGGCGGUUAGACAAGUGUGAUGUGAAAGCCCUGGGCUUAACCUGGGAAUGGCAUCAUAAACUGUCUGGCUGGAGUACUGUAGAGGAUAGUGGAAUUUCCGGUGUAGCGGUGAAAUGCGUAGAGAUCGGAAGGAACACCAGUGGCGAAGGCGACUGUCUGGACAGAUACUGACGCUGAGGCGCGAAAGCGUGGGGAGCAAACAGGAUUAGAUACCCUGGUAGUCCGCGCUGUAAACGAUGAGAACUGGAUGUUGGCGGGCAAUGCCCGUUAGUAUCGGAGCUAACGCGAUAAGUUCUCCGCCUGGGGAGUACGGCCGCAAGGUUAAA
rnacentral:rRNA from 1 species